UGGAUGGAGGGCAGUGAGAGGAUGUGUGUGAACUUUCUGUCAUGAAGGGCAAUUUGCAGGAACUAAUCAUCUUACAAUAGUUGGUCAUAAGAAAGAAAUCCAUCAGCCAAGCAUCCUGAAUAGGUCUGGGAAGGACAAGAUAAAAGAGACUUCCAAGCAUGGGAAAGAGUAGGCCAUUGCUCCAGUGGCAGUGAGGCUAAGGACAGAAGACAGAGAGAACCAGUAGAGGACCAUCUUCACAGGGACAUGACGGUGGACUCCAGGGAUAGUGAUUCCUUAUCCUAGAGACAUGUCCCUCUCAGGCAAGAAGUCAUUCUGACUCUCAAAGACUUCUACAGGAAGCGG
rnacentral:lncRNA from 1 species